rnacentral:rRNA from 1 species
GACGAACGCUGGCGGCGUGCUUAACACAUGCAAGUCGAACGGUAAGGCCUUCGGGUACACGAGUGGCGAACGGGUGAGUAACACGUGGGUGAUCUGCCCGGCACGUCGGGAUAAGCCUGGGAAACUGGGUCUAAUACCGGAUAUGACCAUGGACUUCACGGUUUGUGGUGGAAAGCUUGUGCGGUGUGGGAUGGGCCCGCGGCCUAUCAGCUUGUUGGUGGGGUAAUGGCCUACCAAGGCGACGACGGGUAGCCGGCCUGAGAGGUUGUCCGGCCACACUGGGACUGAGAUACGGCCCAGACUCCUACGGGAGGCAGCAGUGGGGAAUAUUGCACAAUGGGCGCAAGCCUGAUGCAGCGACGCCGCGUGGGGGAUGACGGCCUUCGGGUUGUAAACCUCUUUCAGUAGGGACGAAGCGCAAGUGACGGUACCUACAGAAGAAGCACCGGCCAACUACGUGCCAGCAGCCGCGGUAAUAC